UACGCAGGGGGCUAGCGUUGUUCGGAAUUACUGGGCGUAAAGCGCACGUAGGCGGCUUUGUAAGUUAGAGGUGAAAGCCCGGGGCUCAACUCCGGAAUUGCCUUUAAGACUGCAUCGCUAGAAUUGUGGAGAGGUAAGUGGAAUUCCGAGUGUAGAGGUGAAAUUCGUAGAUAUUCGGAAGAACACCAGUGGCGAAGGCGACUUACUGGACACAUAUUGACGCUGAGGUGCGAAAGCGUGGGGAGCAAACAGG
rnacentral:rRNA from 1 species